CAGUCGCCACGGUAAUAUGAAGGGGGCUAGCGUUGUUCGGAAUUACUGGGCGUAAAGGGCGCGUAGGCGGCCAUUCAAGUUAGAUGUGAAAGCCCUGGGCUCAACCUAGGAAUUGCAUUUGAUACUGUUUGGCUUGAGUUCGGGAGAGGUGAGUGGAAUUCCCAGUGUAGAGGUGAAAUUCGUAGAUAUUGGGAAGAACACCAGUGGCGAAGGCGGCUCACUGGACCGACACUGACGCUGAGGCGCGAAAGCGUGGGGAGCAAACAGGAUUAGAUACCCGGGUAGUCCCUGUCUCUUAUAC
rnacentral:rRNA from 1 species